GGAGGUAUGUGAUCUGCUUUUUUAUUUCGAUUUUUACAGGAGAUUACAGUUAAUGAAAGACCCUCAACGUGAGGACUCCCCCACGUUCUGACUCAGGAGAGGCGACACCCCAAAUCACUCACGAGAAAUGGUCUUGCUGCAAACUGCAAGAGGACUUUUAUUCAAGAGCGCUCUCGGGCCCAUGGUCAUACACCAUGCAGGGGUAGAGGACCGUGGCACCCCAAGUAGCUGGAUGUUCUGGGUGCUCAGCUCUGGUAUUCUUUCCUGAGGACUCUUGGGAGCAUCUGACAUCUUCUUCACCUGCCUCCUGUCUGCAUCCUUCCUUCAGUCUUCAUUCCUGCUUCUAACCUGGAACCUGCUGUGUCUUCAAGAACCCUUGGCCUGGAGGAUAGCAUGGAAAUCUACAGUUUGAGAGUGGUGUGCCCACAGGAGCUGGGGUGACCCCUAACCCUCAGUACCCCCAAAGUUGCCUCCUUUCCUUUAGGCCACUUGUUUUGUUUUGUUACUUCCCUUUACAUAUGUGUGAACACAAAAAACCAUCUUUAGUGGGAGACCUCGGGAACUUACAAAGAGGUGACAUUGAUCCAUGAUAUAUAUCAGUGAAUCAGUCCUGGGUCUCUUGGUCAUGGCUAGGUUGUUUAUAGUCAUUACAUUCUUUCUAAUCAUUUGUUUGUCUUGAUUUCUUUCCUCAAGCAACCCUGAAGAAAAAAGUCAGCAGAGAGAUUGGAAGUCUUAGGACCUGCUGAGUUCUCUGGGCUGGGAAGCCCAUGUGUACCUGGUCUUCUCUGUAGCAUGGUAAAUGGGGGUGGUGGUGGUAGCAAGGUUGUUGUCCCCUGAAGAAAUUCUAUAGGGAUCUCCAGCCAGUGAGGACAGCUGCUCCCCAUCUGAUCUUGUCAGACUCUGACUGAGGCCCCAAGGGUCCUGCAGAGUAAGCCUCAGAGCUGCCUGCUGUAGAUGCAGGGCUGGGGAGGCAGCUGGUGGUGCCCUGCCCCUCCAUCCUCAGUGGGCACUAACGUAAUACAUGCUUCUUGACUGACAUAAGGAGAGGAGUGUGUCCCCAUGACCUUCCAUCUCCUUCAGCCCAUGAAAUAACCAGUUCAAAGCAGAAGGAAGCUGGUUUGACAAAGUUGUAGUGUGUAGCUAUGAGGUAAAGAGGAUGCUGAGCCGGGUGUCCUGUACAGUCAGAGUCCUCUUCUCGGGCUGCUGUGGGAAUGGGCAGACCUGUGGCGUCAGGGUGGUCCUCCGGUGCUGCUGUAGAAAGGGAUCAGGAUGGAUAUCCUGGGGCUGUACUCACAGCUGCAUUUGGACUUUGGGUCUGUCUGUUCUGUGAGGAUUCAGGUCUUAUUUGAAUUUUGGCUGGUCUGAGCCAGGCACCCUUUUUCUGAGAAUGCUAGAUCCUGGUCUCCAAAGGAGAUGAUGGCUCUUAGAGGAACCUGUUCAGUACCCCCUCCCUCCCUACUUCAAUAGGAAGUCUCUGCUCAUUGCCGAGGUCAAAGGUCAGGUUCCAGCUUGGCACACAAGGCUCAGAAGGCCAUGUGAUGCCCAGGGUCCUUGCACAGGAUGCAGAGUGGCUUCAGUUCCUGCUGCAAAUGGAUGGGUGCUCUGCCUAGGAUGGGGGUGCAAGGCCAGGGUGCUCCAGGGGAGAGGCAGCACCUCUUUUCCAAAACAGAUGGUAAAUGUCUUAGGCUUAUUCUAGAAUAUUCUCUGUGGUUUUCUGUAUUUCCUUUUCAUUUUUCUGAUGAUUUUUUUUUAUCAUCUGUAGCAUCCUCAUGGAAUAUAGUUUUUUUUUCUCAUAUUUUCUUUUUUUCCAAAUGUGAGCCAAACUUCCCAUCAGAAGCCACACCCCUUGUGGAAGAGUCUACAAGGCUGAUUGGUUAGAACCUCAUGAUAGUGGAGAGCUGGAAGGCUCAGGUUCAGAGACAAUGUGUCUGUUAGUCUUCCUUGUGGCUGCUCACUGCCCACCUCUGUGUCUGACCUAUUGCCAAAGACAACGUUUGCAGUGUACUUUUUCUUAGCUUGGAACAGACCCCUUAGCCCCAAAGCUGAGACUGUCCUCAGCAUCUGAGACCUGAGACCUGUAGCAGAGAUUCCCCUGUCUUGCUGUAGUCACACACCUGAUGUCCUCACCAGUGGCAAAUGCGUUUGUUGAUUUAUGGCUGUGUUUUGCUUUGCGACUGUAACGAAUUCCACAAUAGAAUAUGUCCCAAGGUGCUCUACUUUUUUUCCUGCCAUUGCUCUUGCUACAUUCUCUGUCCUUUCUCCUCAACUGGGAUCGCCCAGCGCAGAGGGAGCAGGGCAAGAACCUCCUCCAUCUUGGGUCCAUGCUGGGUCUGAGGGGAAGCUACUGUGUGCACUGCUGCCCUCAGUCUCUGCUCACACUCUUGUCCCGUGGGCAUGUUUGUCCUGCUGAGGUCCUUGAAUUCUAGAGGGGUCAUUAGCUGCUGCACAAAUGUUCCUUCCUGGAGCUCUUGCUCAUUCCUCUCUCAGGGGAAGCAAACGGAAUCCAUGAACUCCUUUUCCAAGGAGAGGGCGGUACCCAUGGGUCUACAUGUGCACUCAUGGACUGGCACAAGGGAGGGGUCAUGGAGGAGACCCAGGGAACAGGGUGGGGAAGAGCUACAGUCAGGCCCUGCUGUGGGUGCCAACUCACUGCGAUGGGUGUCUGCCACAGAUAGCGAGCUGCAUGGUGACAUUCUGACACUGUCUCUCAAAAAGGAGAGGGUGGCGUGGAGGAGCCUGAAGAUGCUCAUUUAAUUGGGAAGCCAGCUGAGAUCCGAGGCGCCAGGCUCUGGAGCUGCGCUUCCAGGCACAAUGGCGCUGGCUGAAGGUUGUAUGUAAGGUGGCCUUAUUAAAGUGACAAGGCAAUUUAAUUCCUUUGUGCGCAAUGAUUCUACUUCAUUGAUUUACAAUAGGAAGGGUAUAAUUUCGCUAGUGUUGGCAAAAAGCUCAAAUGUCAGCCUUUUCAAAUUGCCACACUCGCCUGUGCGGGGAUGAAUAAUGAGUAAGUC
rnacentral:lncRNA from 1 species